AGUGAAUGCCUUAAGCAUAGGGUCAUGCCAGCAUUUAUUCUUUCUGUUAAAAAAGCAGUUGAGUCUUUAUGCUGCUGAACCAAGAGCAUGUUAAAGGAACAUGUCUAUAGGAUACAAGGACAUUAUCUGAUCUUCAGGUCUUGUUUAAGCAAAUUAUUCUUGCAGAAAAAUCAAUGGGUAGAAAAUCUGUUUAGACACAGGACUCUUAGGAGAAGGCCCACAGAGUGGGAGAUAUCGUCCCUUGGCGGGGGCAUAAGCAGGCUCCUUCUCCCCAGGGGGCCAUGCAGGCAGUGAGGGACUGGCGGGAUGUGUGGUGGUUGAGGCCUCAUCCCUCUGCUGCCUCUGGCUCGCCUCAGCGGCUGAGAAGAAAGCAGGACAUGGUGCAGCUGCCUCCCCAAAAGGGAAAAGGGAUUAAACCCCUGAGCCCUCCCAGCUGCAUAUUCAACACUUUUUCUUCUAAAGUACAAAAAUACUCAACUUGUAUUUUCUUCCUCAGCCUGCAAAGAACAUAAGGGAUUCCAGGAUUAAGAAAAACAACCAUUACAAUUAACUCUGAGAAAAAUAUAAUACUUAGUUUUAGAAACACAAUGGCAAAACGCUGCACUGAUAUUUAACCAGAACAUUGAACCACUUCACUGUGCUGAAUAUGUAAGCAGACUUUGUCAUCCUAUUUCAAAACUAACAGCCAUCUCAUCUCUUUACCCCUCAGCUGAUUACAGUUCUGAUUUACACCACCAAUGCAUGAAACAAUCCCAUUUACCAUUUGAUGGUAAUUUUAAUUGAGAAAGCAGAAACACAAGGAUGAUAUUGGCUCAGACAAAUGGAGACAGACAAGUAUGAACUUUCCAUUAUUCUGAAUGCUGGUUGUAAAUGUUUUUCCUCUUAUGAACUCUGACUUGUCAUGGUUUGGAAAAUCAUUACAACAAAUAGCUGCAGAUGCCAUUCAGUGUAUAUUACAUGACUGUUGGGCUCCUCUUCUGUAUCUUUCAGUGGAAUUUCAGCCAAUCUGUGUGAUCAUUUCUAAUCAGCCUCAUAACUUUUGCCUUUAGAACUUCUUUGCUGCAGUGUAGUGGUAAUGUGCCAAACCAAAAUAUAGUGCUAGAUUUCUUCUAAUUUUCCUGCCACUUUAUAGAAAGUAUAUUCCUUCUCAAAGUAGUUUAUUAUUCCUGAAAGGUGCUGGAAUGACAGACCUCCUGAUUCACAUCUCCAGCCACACAACAGAAAGAGAAUGAUAAGCAACAACACAGCUACGCCAUGACUACCAUCCAUCCUAACCUGCCUGCAGUAAACUUCAAGAUGAAAUGAAUUCUGUUUCCAUGUUGAUUUGAUUCUUAGCUUCUCUUUGAGGACAGACAGUGAUGUCAGUUUUGGUCUCCUCAGUCUCUGUUUGGACCUGAAGACUCAUGAUUUGGGCUUUUUGGAGGAGUCUAUUAAUUAGAUGGAAAGGCAGAAAUGACUGAGUGGAAAUUCAUGGGGGUCAAAACAGAUAGUGAGUUUAUUACAAGGGAAAAUA
rnacentral:lncRNA from 1 species